GAUGAACGCUGACAGAAUGCUUAACACAUGCAAGUCAAUGGGGAAACGGUGCUUGCACCGUGAUAACCAUGGCGGACGGGUGAGUAACGCGUAAAGAACUUGCCUCUUAGUCUGGGAUAACAGAUGGAAACGACUGAUAAAACUAGAUAUUAUUAAAGUUUCGCAUGAAGCUUUAAUGAAAAGAGAUGCUAAGAGAGAGCUUUGCGUCCUAUUAGUUAGUUGGUGAGGUAACGGCUCACCAAGACGAAGAUAGGUAGCCGGUCUGAGAGGAUGAACGGCCACAAGGGGACUGAGAUACGGCCCUUACUCUUACGGGAGGCAGCAGUGGGGAAUAUUGGACAAUGGAGGAGACUCUGAUCCAGCAAUUCUGUGUGCACGAAAACGGUUUUCGGAUUGUAAAGUGCUUUCAGCAGGGAAGAAGAAAGUGACGGUACCUGCAGAAGAAGCGACGGCUAAAUACGUGCCAGCAGCCGCGGUAAUACGUAUGUCGCAAGCGUUAUCCGGAAUUAUUGGGCAUAAAGAGCAUCUAGGCGGCCAGAUAAGUCUGGGGUGAAAACUUGCGGCUCAACCGCAAGCCUGCCCUGGAAACUAUGUGGCUAGAGUACUGGAGAGGUGGACGGAACUGCACGAGUAGAGGUGAAAUUCGUAGAUAUGUGUAGGAAUGCCGAUGAUGAAGAUAGUCCACUGGACAGCAACUGACGCUGAAGUGCGAAAGCUAGGGGAGCAAACAGG
rnacentral:rRNA from 1 species